AACGAACGCUGGCGGCAUGCCUAACACAUGCAAGUCGAACGGGACCUUCGGGUCUAGUGGCGGACGGGUGGGUAACGCGUGGGAACCUGCCCUUAGGUUCGGAAUAACUGACCGAAAGGGGUGCUAAUACCGGUUAAUGUAUUCGGAGCAAAGAUUUAUCGCCUUUGGAUGGGCGUGGGUUGGAUUAGCUGGUUGGUAGGGGAAAAGCCUACCAAGGCGAGGAUCCAUAGCUGGUGUGAGAGGAUGAGCAGCCACACUGGGACUGAGACACGGCCCAGACUCCUACGGGAUGCAGCAGUGGGUAAUAUUGGACAAUGGGGGAAAGCCUGAUCCAGCAAUGCCGCGUGAGUGAUGAAGGCCGUAGGGUUGUAAAGCUCUUUUACCCGAGAUGAUAAUGACAGUACCGGGAGAAUAAGCUCCGGCUAACUCCGUG
rnacentral:rRNA from 1 species